UACUGAGGGGAGAAUUUACAAAUGCAUCUCUGCUUCUGGAGCGGCGCUGCUCCAGAACCUGGGCCCUCACUGGGCAUAUAUAUUAAUGAGUUUGUACCUUUACGAUUAACUUCCACUUGAGAUUCCCGCAACGUGAGCAAGAAUUUUAUCUCCUUAUCAGCACUGAAAGGAACCCAACAUUACAGCAAAAAUGAUGUUGUCCGUUACCAGCAUCCCUCCUGAGUGACCCAACUGCGAGAUACAGCGGUUUCAUUACAUUGACUCCACGGAGCUAACUCCUGGGAAGGAUUCUGUGCCUGAAAGAGACCUAAGGAAUUCGCUGGAAUUGAGCACAUCCCUCUCCCGCAAAACAUAAGCCUGUUCUCUGGGGUUUGGUCCAGCCUAGCUUCUGAUGACUCAGGCAGUGGGACCCCAUCCCCUAGGAUGGUCCCCUAAUCACAGUCAUCUCAUUGCAAUUCCCUUUCUUGGAUUAAUCCCGUUUCUUCUGGUUCCAUUGCCCUUGUGCCAACACAAUCGCUCCUUCGCUCUUUUCCUUUUGCUGCUCAGCUCAUGAGUGACCUUGAGCCGGAGAAGACCUCAGCCGUCGUCAGCCUUAUGACCCAGGACCUUCACCUUGCUAUUCUGCCUCGGAUGUACGUUCCGUUUGCUCUGAGCGAAGCAGCCGGCGACUGCCCUGGAGACGCUGGACCCCAGUUCACUGUGGCUUGAAUCAAAGCUCUUUUUAUUGGCAAUUUUUCCAAAACAGAAAGAAAAUCCUAACACUGAACGCACGGCUUGGCUGAACCUCACCACAGUCACUGAGUAUGGCCAGGUUACCUGGAUCUCCAGCACGAAGGGAAAGGUGCUCUGCCUCUGACCCCUGUUGGAGGAAAGAGCAACACACCAGGCAUCUGAGAGCAUCUGUCUUUGGUCCCCAGCUGCCCCAGCCUCCGUGCCUUUGGAGGGCCCUUUCACAGAAGGGUCACUUCCUGGCGGCGAAGUCUGCUCAUUAAUGCAGGGUGUCAGGGACCAUAUUCAUUGUCUGUUAAUAGCUUAUGUCAAACAAUAUCUCUUCCUGUUGCAAACAUACAUCACCAUGUGAGUAGAUUAGAUUGUCUGGAAGUAUGAAUUU